rnacentral:rRNA from 1 species
UACGUAGGGGGCUAGCGUUGUCCGGAAUCAUUGGGCGUAAAGAGCGUGUAGGCGGUCCGGUAAGUCCGCUGUGAAAGUCGGGGGCUCAACCCUCGAAUGCCGGUGAAUACUGUCGGGCUAGAGUGCGGAAGAGGCGAGUGGAAUUCCUGGUGUAGCGGUGAAAUGCGCAGAUAUCAGGAGGAACACCCGUGGCGAAAGCGGCUCUCUGGGACGGUACUGACGCUGAGACGCGAAAGCGUGGGGAGCAAACAGG